rnacentral:rRNA from 1 species
CCUACGGGUGGCAGCAGUGAGGAAUAUUGGUCAAUGGGCUUACGCCUGAACCAGCCAAGUCGCGUGAGGGAAGACUGCCCUAUGGGUUGUAAACCUCUUUUGUCAGGGAGCAACGCCGGCUACGUGUAGCCGGACUGAGAGUACCUGAAGAAAACGCAUCGGCUAACUCCGUGCCAGCAGCCGCGGUAAUCCGGAGGAUGCGAGCGUUAUCCGGAUUUAUUGGGUUUAAAGGGUGCGUAGGCGGAAUGCCAAGUCAGCGGGAAAAGCCCGGGGCUCAACCCCGGCGAGCCGUUGAAACUGGCGGGCUGGAGUUGGAGAGAAGUACGCGGAAUGCGCGGUGUAGCGGUGAAAUGCUUAGAUAUCGCGCAGAACCCCGAUUGCGAAGGCAGCGUACCGGCUCCACACUGACGCUGAAGCACGAGAGCGUGGGUAGCGAACAGGAUUAGAUACCCGAGUAGUC